GGGUUGUGAGGUUAAGCGACUAAGCGUACACGGUGGAUGCCCUGGCAGUCAGAGGCGAUGAAGGACGUGCUAAUCUGCGAAAAGCGUCGGUAAGGUGAUAUGAACCGUUAUAACCGGCGAUGUCCGAAUGGGGAAACCCAGUGUGAUUCGUUGCACUAUCGUUAACUGAAUACAUAGGUUAACGAGGCGAACCG
rnacentral:rRNA from 1 species